GGGCGCGUAGCUCAGUUGGUUAGAGCGCAACACUGAUAAUGUUGAGGUCCCCGGUUCGAUUCCAGGCGCGCCCA
rnacentral:tRNA from 1 species